CCAACCUGCCCUCUACUCCGGAACAGCCCGUCGAAAGGCGGAUUAAUGCCGGAUGGUGUCACAUGCCCGCAUGAGUGUGUGACCAAAGGCAACGGUAGAGGAUGGGGAUGCGACUGAUUAGCUAGUUGGCGGGGUAACGGCCCACCAAGGCUACGAUCAGUAGGGGUUCUGAGAGGAAGGUCCCCCACAUUGGAACUGAGACACGGUCCAAACUCCUACGGGAGGCAGCAGUGAGGAAUAUUGGUCAAUGGGCGAGAGCCUGAACCAGCCAAGUAGCGUGCGGGACGACGGCCCUAUGGGUUGUAAACCGCUUUUGAUUGGGAACAAAGAGCGCCACGUGUGGUGCGUUGCGUGUACCUUUCGAAUAAGCAUCGGCUAAUUCCGUGCCAGCAGCCGCGGUAAUACGGAAGAUGCGAGCGUUAUCCGGAUUUAUUGGGUUUAAAGGGAGCGUAGGCGGGCUGUUAAGUCAGCGGUCAAAUGUCAGGGCCCAACCUUGGCAUGCCGUUGAUACUGGCGGCCUUGAGUUCACACAAGGAAGGUGGAAUUCGUCGUGUAGCGGUGAAAUGCUUAGAUAUGACGAAGAACUCCGAUUGCGAAGGCAGCCUUCUGGGGUGUUACUGACGCUGAGGCUCGAAAGUGCGGGAAUCAAACAGGAUUAGAUACCCUGGUAGUCCGCACCGUAAACGAUGAGCGCCC
rnacentral:rRNA from 1 species